AGAGUUUGAUCCUGGCUCAGGAUGAACGCUAGCGGCAGGCUUAAUACAUGCAAGUCGAACGGGAUUCGUUGUAGCAAUACGAUGAUGAGAGUGGCGCACGGGUGCGUAACGCGUAUGCAACCUACCUUUAACAGGUGAAUAGCCCCGAGAAAUCGGGAUUAAUACACCGUAACAUUGCGAAGUGGCAUCACUAUGCAAUUAAAGAUUUAUCGGUUAAAGAUGGGCAUGCGUGACAUUAGCUAGUUGGUGAGGUAACGGCUCACCAAGGCAACGAUGUCUAGGGGUCCUGAGAGGGUUAUCCCCCACACUGGUACUGAGACACGGACCAGACUCCUACGGGAGGCAGCAGUAAGGAAUAUUGGUCAAUGGGCGCAAGCCUGAACCAGCCAUGCCGCGUGCAGGAAGACGGCCCUAUGGGUUGUAAACUGCUUUUGUCAGGGAAUAAACCUAUCUACGCGUAGAUAGCUGAAGGUACCUGAAGAAUAAGCAUCGGCUAACUCCGUGCCAGCAGCCGCGGUAAUACGGAGGAUGCAAGCGUUAUCCGGAUUCAUUGGGUUUAAAGGGUGCGCAGGCGGGUUAUUAAGUCAGAGGUGAAAUCCCACAGCUCAACUGUGGAACUGCCUUUGAUACUGAUAGUCUAGAGUAUAGUUGAAGUUGGCGGAAUGUGUCAUGUAGCGGUGAAAUGCUUAGAUAUGACACAGAACACCGAUCGCGAAGGCAGCUAGCUAAGCUAUAACUGACGCUCAUGCACGAAAGCGUGGGGAUCAAACAGGAUUAGAUACCCUGGUAGUCCACGCUGUAAACGAUGAUUACUCGAUGUUGGCGAUACACAGUCAGCGUCUAAGGGAAACCAAUAAGUAAUCCACCUGGGGAGUACGAUCGCAAGAUUGAAACUCAAAGGAAUUGACGG
rnacentral:rRNA from 1 species